rnacentral:rRNA from 1 species
GAGUUUGAUCCUGGCUCANGAUGAACGCUAGCGGCAGGCUUAACACAUGCNAGUCGAGGGGUAACAGGGAAGCUUGCUUUCGCUGACGACCGGCGCACGGGUGCGUAACACGUAUACNACUUACCUUUAACUGGGGCAUAGCCCGAAGAAAUUCGGAUUAAUACCCCAUAACAAUGAAAAUUCGCAUGUUUUUUCAUUUAAAGCUCCGGCGGUUAAAGAUGGGUAUGCGGUCUAUUAGUUUGUUGGUGAGGUAAUGGCUCACCAAGACUACGAUAGAUAGGGGGUCUGAGAGGAUGAUCCCCCACACUGGUACUGAGACACGGACCAGACUCCUACGGGAGGCAGCAGUGAGGAAUAUUGGACAAUGGAGGCAACUCUGAUCCAGCCAUGCCCGCGUGAGGAUGAAUGCCCUCUGGGUUGUAAACUUCUUUUAUAUGGGAAUAAACCCUCGGACGUGUCCGAGGCUGAAUGUACCAUACGAAUAAGCACCGGCUAACUCCGUGCCAGCAGCCGCGGUAAUACGGAGGGCGCAAGCGUUAUCCGGAUUUAUUGGGUUUAAAGGGUCCGUAGGUGGGAUUGUAAGUCAGUGGUGAAAUCUUUCGGCUCAACCGAAAAACUGCCAUUGAUACUGCAAUUCUUGAGUAUACUCGAGGUAGGCGGAAUGUGUCAUGUAGCGGUGAAAUGCAUAGAUAUGACACAGAACACCGAUAGCGAAGGCAGCUUACCAGAUUAUAACUGACACUGAG